GACGAACGCUGGCGGCGUGCUUAACACAUGCAAGUCGAACGAAGUGGCGAACGGGUGAGUAACGCGUAAUCAACCUGCUCUUCAGAGGGGGACAACAGGUGGAAACGACUGCUAAUACCGCAUACUGAAGGUGGGGAUUGCGUCUGUUUAGCUAGUUGGAGGGGUAACGGCCGACCAAGGCGAUGAUCAGUAGGCGGUCUGAGGGGAUGGACGGCCCCAAUGGGACCGGGACACGGCCCCGAAUUCUACGGGAGGCAGCAGUGGGGAAACUUCCGCAAUGGAAGGAAGUCUGACGGAGCAAAGCCGCGGGGGUGAUGACGGCCUUCGGGUUGUAAAACUCUGUUAAUCGGGACGCGGUACCGGAAUAGAAAGCCACGGCUAACUACGUGCCAGCAGCCGCGGUAAUUC
rnacentral:rRNA from 1 species